rnacentral:rRNA from 1 species
UGGGGUAACGGCUCACCAAGGCGACGAUCCCUAGCUGGUCUGAGAGGAUGACCAGCCACACUGGAACUGAGACACGGUCCAGACUCCUACGGGAGGCAGCAGUGGGGAAUAUUGCACAAUGGGCGCAAGCCUGAUGCAGCCAUGCCGCGUGUAUGAAGAAGGCCUUCGGGUUGUAAAGUACUUUCAGCGGGGAGGAAGGGAGUAAAGUUAAUACCUUUGCUCAUUGACGUUACCCGCAGAAGAAGCACCGGCUAACUCCGUGCCAGCAGCCGCGGUAAUACGGAGGGUGCAAGCGUUAAUCGGAAUUACUGGGCGUAAAGCGCACGCAGGCGGUUUGUUAAGUCAGAUGUGAAAUCCCCGGGCUCAACCUGGGAACUGCAUCUGAUACUGGCAAGCUUGAGUCUCGUAGAGGGGGGUAGAAUUCCAGGUGUAGCGGUGAAAUGCGUAGAGAUCUGGAGGAAUACCGGUGGCGAAGGCGGCCCCCUGGACGAAGACUGACGCUCAGGUGCGAAAGCGUGGGGAGCAAACAGGAUUAGAUACCCUGGUAGUCCACGCCGUAAACGAUGUCGACUUGGAGGUUGUGCCCUUGAGGCGUGGCUUCCGGAGCUAACGCGUUAAGUCGACCGCCUGGGGAGUACGGCCGCAAGGUUAAAACUCAAAUGAAUUGACGGGGGCCCGCACAAGCGGUGGAGCAUGUGGUUUAAUUCGAUGCAACGCGAAGAACCUUACCUGGUCUUGACAUCCACGGAAGUUUUCAGAGAUGAGAAUGUGCCUUCGGGAACCGUGAGACAGGUGCUGCAUGGCUGUCGUCAGCUCGUGUUGUGAAAUGUUGGGUUAAGUCCCGCAACGAGCGCAACCCUUAUCCUUUGUUGCCAGCGGUCCGGCCGGGAACUCAAAGGAGACUGCCAGUGAUAAACUGGAGGAAGGUGGGGAUGACGUCAAG